AGCAGCCGCGGUAAUUCCAGCUCCAAUAGCGUAUAUUAAAGUUGUUGCAGUUAAAAAGCUCGUAGUUGAAUUUCGGGGUUAGUAGGUUGGUCAUGCCUCUGGUAUGUACUGGUCUCACUGAUUCCUCCUUCCUGAUGAGCCGUAAUGCCAUUAAUUUGGUGUUGCGGGGAAUUUGGACUGUUACUUUGAAAAAUUGAGUGUUUAAAGCAAGCUAACGCUUGAAUACAUUAGCAUGGAAUAAUGAAAUAGGACGUUCGAUCCUAUUUUGUUGGUUUCUAGGAUUGACGUAAUGAUUAAUAGGGAUAGUUGGGGGCAUUAGUAUUCAAUUGUCAGAGGUGAAAUUCUUGGAUUUAUUGAAGACUAACUACUGCGAAAGCAUUUGCCAAGGAUGUUUUCAUUAAUCAAGAACGAAAGUUAGGGGAUCGAAGACGAUCAGAUACCGUCGUAGUCUUAACCAUAACUAUGCCGACUAGGGAUCGGAUGAUGUAAUUUUUAAUGACUCAUUCGGCGCCUUAAC
rnacentral:misc_RNA from 1 species